AUGAACGCUGGCGGCGUGCCUAAUACAUGCAAGUCGAGCGAACGGACGAGAAGCUUGCUUCUCUGAUGUUAGCGGCGGACGGGUGAGUAACACGUGGAUAACCUACCUAUAAGACUGGGAUAACUUCGGGAAACCGGAGCUAAUACCGGAUGAUAUUUUGAACCGCAUGGUUCAAAAGUGAAAGACGGUCUUGCUGUCACUUAUAGAUGGAUCCGCGCUGCAUUAGCUAGUUGGUAAGGUAAUGGCUUACCAAGGCAACGAUGCAUAGCCGACCUGAGAGGGUGAUCGGCCACACUGGAACUGAGACACGGUCCAGACUCCUACGGGAGGCAGCAGUAGGGAAUCUUCCGCAAUGGGCGAAAGCCUGACGGAGCAACGCCGCGUGAGUGAUGAAGGUCUUCGGAUCGUAAAACUCUGUUAUUAGGGAAGAACAUAUGUGUAAGUAACUGUGCACAUCUUGACGGUACCUAAUCAGAAAGCCACGGCUAACUAUGUG
rnacentral:rRNA from 1 species